rnacentral:rRNA from 1 species
GGGUGAGUAAUAUAUCGGAACGUACCCUGGAGUGGGGGAUAACGUAGCGAAAGUUACGCUAAUACCGCAUACGAUCUAAGGAUGAAAGUGGGGGAUCGCAAGACCUCAUGCUCCUGGAGCGGCCGAUAUCUGAUUAGCUAGUUGGUAGGGUAAAAGCCUACCAAGGCAUCGAUCAGUAGCUGGUCUGAGAGGACGACCAGCCACACUGGAACUGAGACACGGUCCAGACUCCUACGGGAGGCAGCAGUGGGGAAUUUUGGACAAUGGGGGCAACCCUGAUCCAGCAAUGCCGCGUGAGUGAAGAAGGCCUUCGGGUUGUAAAGCUCUUUUGUCAGGGAAGAAACGGUGCGAGCUAAUAUCUCGUGCUAAUGACGGUACCUGAAGAAUAAGCACCGGCUAACUACGUGCCAGCAGCCGCGGUAAUACGUAGGGUGCAAGCGUUAAUCGGAAUUACUGGGCGUAAAGCGUGCGCAGGCGGUUUUGUAAGACUGUCGUGAAAUCCCCGGGCUCAACCUGGGAAUGGCGAUGGUGACUGCAAGGCUAGAGUUUGGCAGAGGGGGGUAGAAUUCCACGUGUAGCAGUGAAAUGCGUAGAUAUGUGGAGGAACACCGAUGGCGAAGGCAGCCCCCUGGGUCAAAACUGACGCUCAUGCACGAAAGCGUGGGGAGCAAACAGGAUUAGACACCCUGGUAGUCCACGCCCUAAACGAUGUCUACUAGUUGUCGGGUUUUAAUUAACUUGGUAACGCAGCUAACGCGUGAAGUAGACCGCCUGGGGAGUACGGUCGCAAGAUUAAAACUCAAAGGAAUUGACGGGGACCCGCACAA